UGUGACCUCAAAUCAGGUAGGACUACCCGCUGAACUUAAGCAUAUCAAUAAGCGGAGGAAAAGAAACUAACAAGGAUUCCCCUAGUAACUGCGAGUGAAGCGGGAAAAGCUCAAAUUUAAAAUCUGGCAGUCUUUGGCUGUCCGAGUUGUAAUCUAGAGAAGUGUUAUCCGCGCUGGACCGUGUACAAGUCUCCUGGAAUGGAGCGUCAUAGAGGGUGAGAAUCCCGUCUUUGACACGGACUACCAGGGCUUUGUGAUGCGCUCUCAAAGAGUCGAGUUGUUUGGGAAUGCAGCUCAAAAUGGGUGGUAAAUUCCAUCUAAAGCUAAAUAUUGGCGAGAGACCGAUAGCGAACAAGUACCGUGAGGGAAAGAUGAAAAGAACUUUGGAAAGAGAGUUAAACAGUACGUGAAAUUGCUGAAAGGGAAACGCUUGAAGUCAGUCGCGUCGUCCAGGGAUCAACCUUGCUUUUGCUUGGUGCACUUUCUGGUUGACGGGUCAGCAUCAAUUUUGACCAUUGGAAAAAGAUUAAGGGAAUGUGACAUCUUUGGAUGUGUUAUAGCCCUUGGUUGCAUACGAUGGUUGGGAUUGAGGAACUCAGCACGCCGCAAGGCCGGGUUUUUAACCACGUACGUGCUUAGGAUGCUGGCAUAAUGGCUUUAAUCGACCCGUCUUGAAACACGGACCAAGGAGUCUAACAUGCCUGCGAGUGUUUGGGUGGAAAACCCGAGCGCGUAAUGAAAGUGAAAGUUGAGAUCCCUGUCGUGGGGAGCAUCGACGCCCGGACCAAACCUUUUGUGACGGUUCCGCGGUAGAGCAUGUAUGUUGGGACCCGAAAGAUGGUGAACUAUGCCUGAAUAGGGUGAAGCCAGAGGAAACUCUGGUGGAGGCUCGUAGCGAUUCUGACGUGCAAAUCGAUCGUCAAAUUUGGGUAUAGGGGCGAAAGACUAAU
rnacentral:rRNA from 1 species